rnacentral:rRNA from 1 species
UACGUAGGGUGCGAGCGUUGUCCGGAAUUAUUGGGCGUAAAGGGCUCGUAGGCGGUCUGUUGCGUCGGGAGUGAAAACUCAGGGCUUAACCCUGAGCCUGCUUCCGAUACGGGCAGACUAGAGGUAUGCAGGGGAGAACGGAAUUCCUGGUGUAGCGGUGAAAUGCGCAGAUAUCAGGAGGAACACCGGUGGCGAAGGCGGCAUCCUGGACCAACACUGACGCUGAUGAGCGAAAGCCAGGGGAGCAAACGGG